rnacentral:rRNA from 1 species
AGAAGCGAAAGCGAAAGUAUUCCGCCAGGAGAGUAUAGCUUCAAAGUUGAAAUCCAAGACAAUAGACGGUUACAGUUGUAGGCAGUGGAUUGUGUUUUUUAAUUCGAUAAUCCCCGAAAAUCUUACCAUUAUUUGAAUCAAAUUAAGAAAAAAGAAAUUAAGAAUGACAAAUGUUACAUCGUUGUUUAAAGUCUGUGCUUUAA